CCAACUUUGUGUUUUUCAGCAGUAACAACAUCUGCCUGUUGAUCUUAUGAUUUGUGAUGUGAAAAAAUAUUUCUAUUUCAGGUUAGCAAAAUGCAGUAAUUUUGAAGCAACCGAAAAACCUCCUCAUACAAAAACGUUUUUCAAUCAUUUCUGUCGUGUUCUGUGUUUUCUGUGUGUUAAUUUCGAGUUUUCGGUGUUAUGUUCCGGGGUUCUCUGGUUCUCUUGGUGGGGUUUUUCCUGUGCGCCUUUUCCACCUCUUACCACCAGAUGGCGACAGGUUCCGGUUGGAGUGCGGUGGUAUCAUCAUCAUCCACAGCUGUCAUCAAUUACCCUCAUCAGCGGAGCAUACUUAAGGAGUUGACCGCCAGUCCAGCGUCGCCUGAGUGUUUGCCAGUCACGGUGAUCCCUUUGACACUCUGGACCCGCUGACCAGAUCCUGGCAGUUUCCUUGGUUUCAGAACCUCCCUCGUGACGCCGUGGAAAGUAUCCACUGGUUGCCCGAGUUCCCAGACUCACCUCUCCGUUGUUUUGCAAGUAUCUCCUGGACCCCACGGCUGGCGGUCGAACCACUCCUCUGUGUCUCUGUUGCACCCGAGCCUACCUGUCCGUUCUCCGCCGCACUCCUCCGUUGUUCCUGGACCCACUAAGAGACCGAGACCCUGGACAUACUCAGUAACCCUCCAAGAUUCAGAUCCAGCCACCACCAAUGAACCACUGCUGCCCGUUACAGUUGAUUCCCUGGACCAGACCACCUUCCCACACUUUGAUAAUUGUGUACCUUA